rnacentral:rRNA from 1 species
UACGAAGGGGGCUAGCGUUGCUCGGAAUCACUGGGCGUAAAGGGUUCGUAGGUGGCUCGCUAAGUCAGACGUGAAAUCCCUCAGCUUAACUGGGGAACUGCGUCUGAGACUGGCAAGCUUGAGUGCAGGAGAGGAACGCGGAAUUCCAGGUGUAGCGGUGAAAUGCGUAGAUAUCAGGAGGAACACCGGUGGCGAAGGCGGCUUCCUGGACACUUACUGACGCUGAGACGCGAAAGCGUGGGGAGCAAACAGG